UCGCGCGAAAUGCCCGUCCCUCGCGCUCGCGCUCGCGCUCGCGCGUGAACGUCACGGGAGGAUUUAGCGGGGGAAUACAUUGUGUGUCAGGGAACUCGUCGACGUGGGGGUGCGCCGGUCAACGGUCCCCGGGUCGACCGGGACUGCCUCGUUUCACCUGGAUAUUUUCUCAUCUGGUGCUCCGAAAACGGCCGAUCCCUCCCCCUCGCCCGCCCGUGCGCGAAUGACACAUCUCGAUGGAACGAUCCAAAAUCGUAAAUCGAGGGUAAUAAGAAUGUCUGUGCCACCUCCGCCACCGCCUCCGCAGGCCGCUGCUUCUGGUCCACCAGUGGGAGAUAACAGGAACUUACUGCUGCAGUCCAUAAGGGCAGGGAAAACUUUGAGGAAGACUGUCACCGUGGACAAGAGCGCACCCGCAAUUGCUGGCAAAGUUAAAGGCGAAUCGACAAGUCCUUUGUUGAAUAAUAAUAGUAGGACUAAUAGUUCUAAUGCAGCGAUAAACAGCAACAGUAAUGGUGGACCCAUGUCCCUGGGCGGUUUAUUCGCGGGUGGCAUGCCGAAAUUAAAACCUACGGGACUAAGAGGAAACAUGACCGAGAAAGAGGGACAAAAUGUAAAUAACUCUAGCUUCCUUCACUCGUCGCCUGGAUCUUCUCAUAGUAUGAAACGGGGUCCACCUCCAGUCCCGCCACCAGCCGCGCAGAAGCCACAGAUAUUCAGUCAGGGACAAAGUACCACAGAUUCUGCGACGAGCAAUUCAGACACUAUGCCCAGAGCAUUCGCGAAAUCACCCGCUGUGCCUAAACCCAUGCCAUCGCCUAGUCUGCAGAAACCAUCGCCACCACCUAAGAAGUUGAAUCUGACAAGUAGCGCGGCUAGCGUGGCCAGGGCGCAGAGCAUGCGACUACCGCGCUCGCCACCGGUUCUGAUGACGACAACACCAUCCUCCUUGCAUCAAUCGCAAGAUUGUCUGCACGAGGCCGCCGUACCACAUCCCACAGCGAGACCAGCGAUUAAUCGAGUUCUCAGGCCACCGAUAACGAGACCUCCGUCACCGCCGAUCUCACGGUCGGCGAAUACCAUGCCCACGAAACCGCCGUCACCGACCUCGCGGUCAUCGACCAUGCCUGUUAUGAGAGCAGCACCGCCGCCGCCGUCGAGAGUCACGGUUACCGCGCCCUGCAUACCGCCCCCGCCGCCGCCGCUCCCCCAUCGUCCGGCUCCCACGCAUCAAAGACUAGCACCACCGCCGCCGCCCCCUCCGACUCCACCUACGAGGAGUCUGUCGGUGCGCAACGGCAGCGGUCAAGCCUCGGCGAAUUCCGUUGACCUGGAGGUGCGAUUCGCCGAGAUGUUUCACGCCACGUCUAACUUACCACCUCCAGAACCGUUCAAAGGCUUUGUCAAGGUCUACAGUAGCAGAAACGAUUUAGGCAUACAAUGCUUCGCACAAGGCUGCAUAUCUAGAUGUAUACUACAAAAUAUAUCGCACAUUAUGAAUAGAAUUUUUUGACGGUUUUUUUACAUGAUGCAAAUAUAUCAUUUAUACACGCUGGAAAUUAUACAUGAUUAUCAUUUAUACAUGAUGCACUUUACACGAGACAUUAUUUUUUUUCAUGGCGUUUUAAGGUUUCUUUCAAAGCACUAACUUGCCAACAUUGCUUCUCUAUGCAUUAUGUUCCAGCAAAAGACACAACAUAUCAAGACACUAUAAACAUCAGCAAAGCAACAAGCUCCAGCUCCACCUCUUCAACCGUCUUCUACUCCUAGUACACUGCAAUCGUUAAAUACUUCAUCUGGGAGUAAACAGUGGCAUAAUGCAACUUCUUUAGCAUAUUGAAAACACCAUCUAUGUAUACUUAAAUCAUUGCUUUACGCACUGAUUAUUGUUUAAAAAUUUCUCAAUGCUGCCACAGAAUAAAAUGUUAAAUUAAGUGUGCAUGGAAAGAAUGAAUCAGCAAGAGUUUGAGAGAGUGUGAGAUCUUAAAUCUGCGAGCCCAGUUAUAUAAUAAAAUGUUUUAGACAAUAUUUUCUGUACAGUUUAUCUUAGGAAAAUCU
rnacentral:misc_RNA from 1 species